AGCAAUUUCUUCUUUCCUGCCUGCUGAAGACUGACUUCCUCCUGCUGCCAAAGUUCUAGAGUCUGGACGUCUGAGAUCAGGGUGCCAGCACUGUCGAGGUCACAGACUGCAGACCUCCUUGUAUCUUCAAAUGGAGGAAAGAGGACAAGAGAGCUCCUGUGGUCCCUUUUAUCAAGAUGAAUGCACAAGGAAAAUGUUGUACAUUUGCACAUUGGAGUACACUUCAGCCAUAAAAAGAAUGAGAUGCUGUCAUUUGCAACAACAGGUAUGGAACUGAAGGUUGUUAUGUUAAGUGAAAUAAGCCAGGCACAGAAAGGCAAACUUUGCAUGUUCUCUGCUAAAAAUUAAAACGAUUGAAUUCAUGGAGAUAAAGAGUAGAAGGAUGGUUACCAGGGCCUAGGAAGAGUAGUGUAGGGGCUGACGUGGGGAGGAAAUUGGGGUACAAAAAAUAGAAAGAAUGAAUAAGAUGUAGUAUUUGAUAGCAGGACAGGGUGACUAUAGUCAAUAAUACUUGAAUUAUGUAUUUUAAAAUAAGUAAAAGAGUAUAAUUAGAUUGUAACAGAGUAUAACUGCUUGUGGUAAUGGAUAUCCCAUUUACCCUGAAGUGAUUAUUACAUUGUAUGUCUAUAUCAAAGUAUCUCAUGAAACUCAUAAAUAUGUACACCUAAUAUGUACCCACGAAACUUAAAUAUAAUUUAAAAAGAGACAAAUUUUAAAUAUAAUAUUCUAAGAUAAAUACAUACUUUGCUGAUUUGAUGUAAAAAUGGUACAUCAUGC
rnacentral:lncRNA from 1 species